CCUACGGGAGGCAGCAGUGAGGAAUAUUGGUCAAUGGGCUAACGCCUGAACCAGCCAAGUCGCGUGAGGGAAGACGGCCCUAUGGGUUGUAAACCUCUUUUGUCGGGGAACAAAGCCGUCCACGUGUGGACGGACGAGUGUACCCGAAGGAAAAGCCUCGGCUAAAUCCGGGCCAGCAGCCGCGGUAAUACGGAGGAUGCGAGCGUUAUACGGAUUUAUUGGGUUUAAAGGGUGCGUAGGCGGAAAGUCAAGUCAGCGGUAAAAAUGCGGGGCUCAAAGUCGUCUCGCCGUUGAAACUGGCAGUCUUGAGUGGGCGAGAAGUAUGCGGAAUGCGUGGUGUAGCGGUGAAAUGCAUAGAUAUCACGCAGAACUCCGAUUGCGAAGGCAGCAUACCGGCGCCCUACUGACGCUGAGGCACGAAAGCGUGGGUAUCGAACAGGAUUAGAUACCCUUGUAGUC
rnacentral:rRNA from 1 species